AUGAUGAUUUCUAGAAUUUAAGGUUAGAACGUCUACUGAAAUAUUUUAUGUAGAUUCAAUUCUAGGGCGGUCUGAUUAA